rnacentral:lncRNA from 1 species
UUCCACUGAAGAAUAUAUGCAGAGGAGGAAGAAAUUAUUGGAGUUCCUUCCGGAGAAUAGUUUAGCUAUUGUUGCAGCUGCUCCCACAAAAAUGAUGACUGAUGUUGUACCUUACAAUUUUAGGCAGGAUGCUGACUAUUUAUACAUCACCGGAUGCCAACAACCUGGUGGUGUUGCGGUUCUAGGGCAUGAGUGUGGUUUAUGCAUGUUCAUGCCAGAACCAAGCCUCCAGGUAUUUCAGGAACGAUUUGCUUGCCUCCUUUUUGUUGACUGGAAGCUGUCAAUAAGAGAAAAGCUUUGUCCUAUUUAUAGAUCAAAUUAUCUCAAUUUAGUGACAUUUUUCCUUAGAUUCAGCUGCUACAUGGUAUUAUGGUUAGUACACAUUGUAGAAAGUUAAAGAUUGCUUCCAUUGUAAAAGUCAAAAGUGUUUUUAGGACGUUCUUUGGCAAGGAGAAGUGGCUGGAGUUGAUGCAGCUCUACAGAUAUUCAAGGCUGACCUUGCUUACCCUAUUAGCAGAUUGCCCGAGGUAAACUUUUUUAAAGUAUCAUAUCUCCAAAUGCAAAUAAGUUUGAGAUUCUUGUUAGGAACAAAUACAUCUCACACUGAUAAGUAAAACGGCAUAGAGUAACAUCCCUUCUAUUAUGGGAAUCCUAUUAUCUUCUCUCCUCUUGAUUAUAAAUUUUUGUCCAAGAAUUGGACCCAUGAAAGAUGUCUUAUAUAUACUCUUUGAUUGUUGAUGCAUUCCUAGAAUGGAUUUCUGUGCAAAACACCUUUUUCUCUUGUCUUUCCUGGAAAAGAGAUAUUCUUCCUCCUUUUAAUAUGUGUAAGAGGUAUAAAGGGGACAAAGUGGGCGAAAUGUCAAAGUUUUGACAUAUAUAGAAGCAGGCUUGCCUUACCUAAAACUUCGGAUUUCAAUAGGACCUAUCACUGGAUGUAACUUAUCCUCAUAAUAUUUGAAAUCAAGCUGGCAUCAUGUUAGGAUGAGUUGAGAAUAUAAUAUUAUGAGCAUGAAAUUGAAGAUUGAAGGUUAACACUUUGCGUUAAGGGAAGUGGACACUGUUUUCUACAAGGAAACUAGGAUGAUUUAGGCAGAGCUAAUAUCUUUUGGUUGGCUGUUAGGUUGACCACCCAGACCACAUAAUGACAAUUAGUAUUUAGAUUGACAACACGGAGGACAAAAAAGGAAGAUGUAUAUAUGACGAGUGUUAUUUGUAGAGAACCAUAUUAUGAUUCAUGGUGUAGAUUCUCUACUUAUUAUUUACCAAUUGCAUAUGAGAGCUUAAAUCAGGGAACAUCUAUAAACUCUUACCUUAUAAAAAGAAUAGGAAAUGGAGAUGUGAUGCCCAUAUCAUGAUGAUCUAUAUACUAUGUCAGAAAGGGAAAUAUGCCAAUUAUUUCCUUCUAAGCUGAUUUUCCUGUACAUAAUUUCAGUGUAGCGACUUUAUAUCACUUGUUCCCAUGAUGCAGUUUCUCUUUUCUCAUUUUAUGUCACUUGUUCCCAUGUUGCAAUUUCUCUUUUGUCUAAUUUUUGCCGGAGUUGUCAGCAAGCCCACACCAUUACUCUGUGGGCUGCGGGCCUCACGGGCCAGCCGACUUUUUAAAAAUCAAUAGGAGUAUUUUAUAAUUUAAUUUUAGAAUGUUAAUAAACAUAAAUAUUAUCAAACAAUAUUACAUAGUGUUAAUACUUGUUAAUCAAAUCUCUAACACCCUAAAAAGUACUUCUAAUAGUGAAAUUAAAUAACUUUUGAUAUGAUAUCCUUCGAACCAAAUAAAAAUACUAAUAAUCAAUCUAAAUAAUUGCAUGCAUUUGAGUUACGGAUCAGCCCACGGGUUAGUCCAACCCACAUUGCUCAAGCCCCACGGGCCAUGGAUUUAUCCAAACCGGGUUAAAACGCUUCGUUCUUAAAUGAGCUGCAAAAAUUAAAAUCCAACACUAUCAAAUUAUAGGCCAGAUCGAGCCAGUCCUACGGGCGUGACCCAUAUUGACGACUCUGGUAACAAGUGAGGGGUUUCUGCUGCUUCACCAAAAAGAAAGGAGCCCAAUCAGAAAUAGCAAAAAAAUUAGGACGACAGAGAUAAUAAAUAGGCGGCUACUACAAAUACAGGAAGUCAUAGGGACCUUAAACCCCAAAGAGAAAAAAGUCAAGAAACACAAACAAAAGAACCCCAGUUCUGUACUUAGUACUAGUACAGUCAGAACACGAACAAAAGAAGCUAGGCUAAAGGGGGAAAGCAACAGCAUGCAGGUUUUCCGAAGAACCCCACUUCACAGAAUCUACUCGAGAUUCCUUAAUCAAGUUCGUUUUAUCUUUUCUUUUGAACUUUGUCUGGUUUCACUUUCAUAUUCAACCAACCUUUUCAUUUUUUGUUUUGCCUUAAUAUUGUCGUAUUGCAUUUGUCUUGAGGACACUGAAUUACUGCAAGAUAUUCGAAUGUUCCACCCCGUUUCGUCCCUUUCUGCAAUUAUUUUCCUGAGCAUUAAUGUCUCAUUUAUUUUUGUUUAAAGUUGAUUUGUGAUGUCUAAAGUUGGCAAGUCUUUUUUUCUAAUUCAAUUUAUUUUGGUUUCCUGCUAACAUCUUGUGAAUUGGAUACGAUAGGUAGUCAAGACCAAUGCAUAUUCUACAAAGAAAAUUUAUGAUGCUGGACAGCCAACUCCAGCCACUCACCCUCAGGUAAUCCUACACUGCAUAUGUAGUAUCUAAAUAAUUGGUAACAUGGAACUUGGACUGUUGACAUUAACAAAAGAUCAAAAAAGAGUAAAAUUUCGUAAAUGUUGUUAUGCCAAUGCGUGCAGUUAAUGAAAGAAGGGGAAAUUACUCCUGGCAUUUCCACUGAAGAAUAUAUGCAGAGGAGGAAGAAAUUAUUGGAGUUCCUUCCGGAGAAUAGUUUAGCUAUUGUUGCAGCUGCUCCCACAAAAAUGAUGACUGAUGUUGUACCUUACAAUUUUAGGCAGGAUGCUGACUAUUUAUACAUCACCGGAUGCCAACAACCUGGUGGUGUUGCGGUUCUAGGGCAUGAGUGUGGUUUAUGCAUGUUCAUGCCAGAACCAAGCCUCC